CCUACGGGUGGCAGCAGUGGGGGAUAUUGCACAAUGGGGGGAACCCUGAUGCAGCGACGCCGCGUGUGGGAAGACGGUCCUCUGGAUUGUAAACCACUGUCCCCAGGGACGAAAAUGACGUUACCUGGGGAGGAAGCUCCGGCUAACUACGGGCCAGCAGCCGCGGUAAUACGUAGGGAGCGAGGGUUGUCCGGAAUUACGGGGUGAAAAGGGAGCGUAGGCGGGGAUGCAAGUUGGGUGUAAAAACUACCGGCUCAACUGGUAGUCGCACUCAAAACUGCAGCUCUGGAGUGAAGUAGAGGCAGGCGGAAUUCCUAGUGUAGCGGUGAAAUGCGUAGAUAUUAGGAGGAACACCAGUGGCGAAGGCGGCCUGCUGGGCUUUUACUGACGCUGAGGCUCGAAAGUGUGGGGAGCAAACAGGAUUAGAUACCCCUGUAGUC
rnacentral:rRNA from 1 species